UUGAAGGAGGAAGCUAAGUGAAUAGGAAUUAGAAGUGGUUGUUGGAGGAAGAAAUGUAGUACAAGGGUGGGGUGGUGUGGUGGUCGGAAUCUUCAAAGGAGGGGAGGAGGAGCUUGCGGUAUUCUUAUGCAAACAUUCCACAUUUUCAUGAGUAUGGGGUUGGAAAUGGUCAAAACUAAAAAAAUGUUGGGUCUUAACAUUGCGUUUUAAUAUUGGGGGUGGAAAAUUGAAUUCAGUGUUACUAUUCCUAAAUCUAUAGAGGUAGUUUUGAUCCCAUUAACUGUUUCCUAGCUCGGCUAACGCUCAAUGGCCACUUGAUUCUA